GCACCCAUAGCUCAGCUGGAUAGAGCGCUGCCCUCCGAAGGCAGAGGCCAGGGGUUCGAAUCCCUUUGGGUGCG
rnacentral:tRNA from 1 species